ensembl:lncRNA
UAAAUAAUAAUAAAGAAUAUUCAAAAAAUACAAAUCAACCCGUUAAUGUUAAUGUUAAUAACUAUAAUAAAAAUAAUAACUAUAAUAAAAAUUUGUUAACAAAAUAUGAACAUAUAGAAAACUGGAAUUUGUUUAUUUACCCAAGAGGCUGUGAGUUACUUAGUUAUAUAUACAAAUAUUGUUAUUUAUUUAUUAAUAUUAAUAACAAAAAUUUAACAAAACUAUGUAAAUAUAUUUUUUUCAAAUUAAUUAAACCAUUUUUAAAUUUUUUAUAUUUUUAUGUUUACAUGGCUAUAAAUAAAGACUACUAUUUUGAAUACAUAAUUAAUAAAAAUGUAAAAAACCAGUUUUUUUUUAUUUUACAAAAUCAUACAAAAUAUUAUGACAAGCAAUAUUUAACGAUCGAUACGGCUAUCUCUAUUCCCAUUUUUUUGAAGUAUUCGAUUGAGAUUAUACAAAAUACAGCCAUUUUGUCCCAUAUUCUAAAACAAUCCAAUGAAGAAGAUUUUUAUUUAGCCAUGCCACAAGUGUACACACUUAAACACAGAUCUGAUAAAAAAAAAAAUUUCAAAAAGGUUUUACCAACAAGUAUACACACAAAUGAAGAUAUAAAAAAACAAAUUAUCGAAUUGUCAAAAGUAUUAUGUACAGCAUCAGUUGAUAAACUUUUAAAUUUUUUAAACUUUUAUACCAACCGUUAUUAUAAAAAAAUCCCUCAAAAAAAAAAAAACGUUCGAAAUACAUUAAUCGAGUUUUGGAAUUAUGAAACUCAUUCUAAUUUUAUAUAUAAAAAAAAAAAAAAAAAUGUUAUAAACAAAUUACAAUUUUAUUUUUCUUUUUUUUAUUAUAUUUUAAAUAAUUAUUCUAUUAAUAAUAUAUAUGAUUAUAAAAAUCAAAUACAAAAUUUUAAAACAAAUAAUUUUUUAUGUUAUAUUAAUAAUCAAAGAGGGGAUGUAAGAACAAAUCAAGUUGUAGAGUCGUGUAAAGCUGCAACAGAUAAUAUGCACCGUUUUGGAAAAUGUAAAAAUUUAAGAACUAUUAAUAAAAAAAAAAAUGAACAUAUGAAAAAAAGGAGAAUAAUGAAAAAGUAUACAGAUAAAAGAAGCGACAGUGUUUGUCAUGAAUGGAGGGACAAUAUAAAUGCAAAUCCUCAUAACAAUAACAAUACUGACAUAAUGACAAAACAUAAUCAGUUAUUACCUAAUCAUUUAAAUAAAAAUCUUAAAAAAAUAUAUAUUGCUUACUUAGAAAAUAGAAAAAACAAACAUAAUAAUAAUUUUGAAAUGUUUUUAAAAAAAAAAAAAAAAAAAAACUUUGAUGAAAAAAAUAAUAGUAAUAUAAAUUCCAUUGAACAGUUUAGUUUUUCAGACAAUAGUACAAUAAGUAUUUAUUCAGAUGAACUAAGUUAUAAUGAUUCGUGUGAAGAGCAUUCCGAUGAUGUUUUUCCUAGUACGGAGAUAUCAUCUCUGACGGAUAAUACUGUUACAGAUAAUACUGUUACAGAUAGUGCUGUUACUGAUAGUGCUGUUACUGAUGGUUCUGUUACGGAUAAUGUUAUUACGGACAAUUGUAGUAACACAAUUUUGAAUAGUCAUAACAUUAAAAACCAGUACAUUCCAAAAUAUGAUGUUUCUCUCAUACAAAAAACAAAAGAACAAACGGAUAAGGAAAAAAAAAAUUUAUUUAAUUUUUCUGAUUAUACAAACUUUGGUUGUUUAUAUUAUAAUCCUGAGCGAGAAUAUUCGUUAAAAUUUGACCUAAAUUUUGACCCAAAUUUUGGUUUAAAUUGUGAUAAAGAUUAUGAAAACAUUCCACGUUUAAAAAAUAUGAUGCCUGUGGGUGAUACAUCCAUUGAAACUAUAAGUAGAUGUAGACAAAGUGACAAAUAUAACAACAAAUGUAGCAACAAAUGUAGCAACAAAUGUAGCAAUAAGUGUAGCAACAAAUGUAACAACAAAUGUAACAACAAAUGUAGCAACAAAUGUAACAACAAAUGUAGCAACAAAUGUAACAACAAAUGUAGCAACAAAUGUAACAACAAAUGUAGCAACAAAAAUGGGAAAAAACACCAGUUCGAAAUAAAAAGUAUAAAUUAUUUUAUUUAUAGAAAUAUAUAUAUUCCUAUUAGCUACCAUUAUAACAAUCUUAACAAGAUUUUAGUUUAUUCAUUUUUAAUAAAAAAAAAUUUACUAAUUUAUUUAAGUUUAUUAAAAUGUUUGUUAUUUGAUGAACACGAAGAAAACAAUACAUUUUUUACGUCUGUUAUAUACGACAAACAGAGUUAUAACAUUUUAAAGACACCUGGAAAUGCUCAUAGUACUGAUAUAUGUACCAUAAAUAACGAUAUGUUAUGUUACAAAGAUGGUAACAUAAAAGACAAAGCAAAAGAUGAUGAUGAUGAUGAUGAUGAUAAUAAUGAUAAAAAAACAAAGUUAAGGCAAAAACAAAAAGAAAAACAGAAAAGAACAAAAGGUAAAGAUAUUGUUUAUUUUAGUUUCAAUAAAGAAUUUUAUAAUGUGAAAAAUAUAACAAAAAAAUUUUUUUAUAUAAAUGUUAAUAUAAAAAUUCCUAAUAUAUUGUCUUUAUUUUUUGAUACGGAAGUUAUUAAUUGCUAUAACAAUGUGUUUCGGUUAACUUCAUUAUUUUAUUUCAUUUCCCAAAAUUUGAAUGAAAUUUUUUUGAUUUUUAGUUAUUUUUCAAAAACUGUUAUAUAUCAAUAUGUAGAUAAACCAAAUGAAGACGAAAAAAAUGAAAUAGACCAAUAUGAUCAUAAAAAAAAAAAAAAAAAAAAAAAUCUGUGUUCUUAUUAUUCACAAAAGGGUGAACCUAAUGUUUUGAAAAAUAAUAAAAAUAGUUUAAAAGAUAAUAUAUAUAAUUUGAUAAAAGGUAAUUAUAAAAAUGAUAAAGAAGAAGAUUUUAAAAACUAUUAUUGUAUUAUUACAAAAAAAUCAAUGAAUGCAUAUAUAUUAACUAAGGAAAAGUUUUAUAAUGUUGGUUUUGAUCCAAUUUUUCUUAACUACAAUGUAAUAGAAAUGGAACAAUUUUUAGAAAAAAUAAAAAUCUUUAAUGAAUUAUUAAACGAUUUUAAUAAAAUAAGAAGUGAAAUACAUUUAAUAAUAAAUUAUAUUUACGAUUAUAUUAUAAAUAUAAACAUUUAUAAAAAUUAUUUUUUUUUUUUGCAAAAUAUUUGGAAAGUAAACAAAUUAACUUAUUUAAUUAAUUUUCAUAAAUCAUUUGUCCAACACCUGUUUAAAUUCUCUUUUUUAUCUUCUAACUUUAUUACUUUUUCUAAAAUAAUAUUUAAUAUAAUAAAUACAAUAAAUAUAUUUAAAAACUGUAUAAAUCGAUUAGUAUUAUUUGAAGGAAGUGACACACAACAAUCAUUUUUGUCCACAUUUUCCCAACAUUACAAUAUAAUAAAAACAAAUAUACUUAUAUUAACUUCUUUGGAUGCACAAAAAUGUAUUAAAAAAUUUUUUACUAACAGAAAUCAAUUACUUUUACAUAUUAAAAAAUUUAAAAAUAACAAUUUGGAUUAUCUAUACAACAAAUUUUUUUUUAAUGGAUAUUACCACUCUUUGUUUGACACUGAUGAUGAUGAUGAUGAAUAUUAGUGUACGUACACUUGUGUUCUUUUUAUUGACAUUAAGUACAAGGAGAUUUACUGUUUACUACUAUUGUGAUGAAACAUUAUAGUAACUGUCGUUUUAUACUAGUUGCUAUUGUUAUUUUAUUGUUAUUUAUUGUCAUUUAUUGUCAUUUAUUGUCAUUUAUUGUCAUUUAUUGUCAUUUAUUGUUAUUUAUUUUUUUUUAUUUAUUUUUUUUUUUUUAAGAUAGUAAAUAAACGUAUAAUUUGAAUAUACA